UACGUAGGUGACCAGCGUUGUCCGGAUUUAUUGGGCGUAAAGCGCGCGCAGGUGGUCCUUUAAGUCUGAUGUGAAAGCCCCAGCGGCUCAACCGUGGAGGGUCAUUGGAAACUGGGGGACUUGAGUGUGGGAGAGGUGAGUGGAAUUCCUGGUGGUAAGCGGUGAAAUGCGUAGAUAUCAAGGAGGAACACCUGUGGCGAAAGCGGCUCACUGGACCAUAACUGACGCUGAUGCACGAAAGCUAGGGGAGCAA
rnacentral:rRNA from 1 species